UCCAAGGUAGUCGAUAAGGAUUUAUAAACCGUCUCAGUUGAAUGGUUUUGAACUUUAUGACUAUGUCAUAGAAGUUACACCUCUUACUUCGAUAGAAAUAAGAAUGAAAAAUCCUUAUGACUACAUUGAGUGCAUAUACGAUAUAUACUCAAGGAAAUGGUAAAGUACCAUUUGACUCGAAAUAAUGAAACCUUCAAAGCUAAUUGGUAGCUUAAGGUGACUACAAUCAAAUAGAAUGGUUGACUUUAAAGGAACCAUUUUUGACGUAGUCUUAGUUUCAAUAAAUUCGAAGAUUGCUAGCUACAACUAAAUGGUGAUUCAAUGUUUUGACAUAAUAUGGGUUUCCGAAACCAUUAUUAAGAUAGUCUUGAUAAUAUAUGUCUAAAACUAUGAAUCACAAGACAUGAAAGUUGUAGAGAUCCAUCCAUCAUGGAUCUUAGCAAGUUAGUGGGAGCUAUUUGCAUUUUAUGAGAAAAAGGAUCAAAUCGUUUGAUUUCUCAUAAAGAUGUAAAUGAAUCUUUUGUUUACUAGUUUUACAAAAGAUUAGUGGGAGUUAAUCAUGUUCCUAAAAAUUUAAAUAUAUAUGAUAUAUUAAUUUUGGAAAUGAAAAGAAUACUUCUUCGUUAAAGUUAUGACUUUAAUACAUUAUAUGAAGAUAGAAUGUAUUUGGGAGAUAUAGUCUAUAUACAUGGGAUGGAAAUCUAUAAUGAUAUAUUUCAUGAUAUAAUUGGAUUAUAUCAAUCCCUAAUAAUAGACAAUGGAUGCUAGGAAGUUUCUCAUAUGAUGAUAAACUUCAAUAUGAAGGACGAUUCUAGUGAGACUAGCAAGUUGCCCUUCUCAAAGGGAAUGUACCAUUUGACUCCCAAAGAAAUAAUGCGUAAAUUGAAUCCUUUAUGCAUACGCAGAAAGGUGAUUUAUGUAUUUCAU
rnacentral:lncRNA from 1 species